rnacentral:lncRNA from 1 species
GUAGUACAGGCGGCCGGGCGCGGUGGCUCAAGCCUGUAAUCGCAUCACUUUGGGAGGCCGAGACAGGUGGAUCACGAGGUCAGGAGAUCGAGACCAUCCUGGCUAACACGGUGAAACCCCGUCUCUACUAAAAAUACAAAAAAUUAGCCGGCCGCAGUGGCGAGCCAGUCCCAGCUACUCCGGAGGCUGAGGCAGGAGAAUGGCGUGAACCCGGGAGGCGGAGCUUGCAGUGAGCUGAGAUCCGGCCACUGUAUUCCAGCCUGGGUGACAGAGAGAAACUCGUCUCAAAAAAAAAAAAGGUAGUACAGGCUUCAGCUAUGUUCACAUCUCCCAUUCACCGUGGUCUAUGGUAAUCUGGCUUCUUCCCUUGUCAGUUUGCUGGAAUUACUUUAGUUAAGGUCAUAAAAAUCUCCAGUGAAUAUUUUUCUGUUAUUUAGUACUGAAUUAACACACUAUUUUGGUGAUGUUUAUUACUGUUUUGAAACUCUCUACUUUGUUGACUUUCAUUGCAUUUGACUUCCCUGGUUCUUUUCUUUUUCUUCUAUUUAGUUCCUUCACUGUUUUCUCUUUGGACUUAUCUUCCUCUGCCUACCCUUUAAAGAGUGUAUUUCCAAAGAUUUCAUCCUGGUCCAUUGCUUUUAUUCUACAUAGUAAUUAUAAUGGGGUGGUCUCAUCUACUUUCUUGACUUUAAAUAGCACCAGAGUACUAACCGGCCUUCCAAAUGUUUACCCUUAGUGAAGAGUCUUCUCUUGAACUUCUGGAUAUACAUCCAACCACUCACCUGUGCCACACACACUUUUACCACAAACUCAUCAGGUCCCAAACUGACAUGAUCAACCUUGCCCCUAACCUCCCGGUACUCUCUCUCUCUCAGUGGCAUUAUCAUUCAGUCAUCCGAGCUAGAAUUUAGAGACUCAGUCCACCUUUAGUUCUUCCAUCACCAUCUAAUCACUUACAAGCCCUGCCCAUUCUACAAAUCUGCACUCCCUCCCUCCAUCUUCACUGCCACCCUCUCAAUUCAAAUGCUCAUCUUCUCUCCUCGCUAGUUAUUCUGCUGUCUAUGUCCAUUCGCCACACAAGGUGCCAGAUUAAAACGUCUGUCUCAAAGAAAUACGGCAUCAUCACUCUUAACGUAAAAUCAAAGAUUCUUUCUCUUCCACCUCUCCAGCCAAAUUUUGCAUUUUCACUUUUGAAAUUUGGAAAUUACAAUAGUACUCUAUACCCUGAGAUGAUGAAUACCCCUGUGACUUCUUCAUGCAGUGCCCUCUCACUGAGACCUGUGUCACCUGACUUGUAACCUGGUUAACUUCUCAUCCUCCUUUAUAUGUAACCGCCAAAUAACUUCUAGGAAGAAUUCCCUGAACUUCCAAACCGCUCUGAAUAUCACCUCCCAUUUUCUUAUUUCUCUUUAUCAACCUCUAUUAUUGCUUUACCUGUUGCAUUAUCAUUACCACUUUACCUACCUGAUUCUCUCAGUCGACAGUUUCCUAAGGAUGGGAACUGCAUCUGCUUUAUCUGUGCACCCCAUUACCUGGCCCAUUGCUGGAGAAUAAUGGGAAUCUCUUAUUCUAGACCUUGCUGAGGAGGAAGCUGUCCUGGGGGAAGCAAGGGUUUUGGUGCCAGUCACGUAACACCACAUCACCUAAUUUUCAGUCCUCCCUACUAAGAACAGAUAACGCAAAAUCCCAUUACACUUUAGAGUAUCUCUAUGGAGAGUGUUGAAAUGAACACACUAGGAUGACCCUCUGCUUUGUGAUGAACAUCCUUUCGCUUCCACCAGCAUUGAAAAUAGAACAUUUAUCCACCUCUCAAUUGUGAUGUCCUGCUCCUUUUGGAAAUUCUGUUCUCUUUGAAUAGAGCAGCUUCAUUACCACAACCAUCAGUUUCACAAGGUCACCCAUAGCCCAGUGGACAGAUUCAAAACAUCUUUCACAGGAGGGUAGCCAGUCUCAUGUCUGCAGUUUGGGGUGGGUGUGGGAUUAUACAGACACCAGAGUCUGUAUUAGCACAGUUUCAACUUUCAGAAGGAGGAAACAUAAAAUCAGAUCAAAUCUUUAUGUAUUAGGUAUUCUGUGUCACUAUACUGAAAUAUUCUGUACUGUAACUUUUUGAGGAAGAAAAAUAGUGCUUGGAAGAUGAACUGGCCUUGUUCCAGUAUAUCCCUUAGUUCCAGUGCUAAUGGAAAUGAAAGUUAUUCACCUGUACAAGGAGUCCAAAGCACGGAUUCAUAACUGGGGGUUUUUUGGCCAGCACAGUAUGAUGAUUUGUUUAAUUUUUAAAAUUUGUGGAGGAUCCCUUGAACCCGAGAGGCAAAGGUUCCUGUGAGCUGAGACUGUACCAUUGCUCUUCAGCCUGGGCAACAAGAGUGGAACUCCAUCUAAAAAAAAAAAAAAAAAA